CCUACGGGAGGCAGCAGUCGAGAAUCUUCGGCAAUGGGCGCAAGCCUGACCGAGCGACGCCGCGUGCGGGAUGAAGGUCUUCGGAUUGUAAACCGCUGUCGGAGGGGAUGAAAUGCAUGGGGGUACUCCCCUGUGUUUGACAGAGCCUCGGAGGAAGCACGGGCUAAGUUCGUGCCAGCAGCCGCGGUAAUACGAACUGUGCGAACGUUAUUCGGAAUCACUGGGCUUAAAGGGUGCGUAGGCGGCGACUCAAGUCAGGUGUGAAAUCCCCCGGCUCAACCGGGGAACAGCGCUUGAAACUGGGUUGCUCGAGUGAGGCAGGGGUGUAUGGAACUUCCGGUGGAGCGGUGAAAUGUGUAGAUAUCGGAAGGAACGCCGGCGGCGAAAGCGGUACACUGGGCCUUGUCUGACGCUGAGGCACGAAAGCUAGGGGAGUGAACGGGAUUAGAUACCCCGGUAAUCCUAGCCGUAAACACUGAGCACUGGAGGGGAGGGGCCUUGCGCCCUUUCCCUCGCAGCGAAAGCGUUAAGUGCUCCGCCUGGGGAUAUGGUCGCAAGGCUGAAACUUAAAUGAAUUGACGG
rnacentral:rRNA from 1 species